rnacentral:lncRNA from 1 species
CUGAAACACACCACAAGGUGCACGUUUGGAAAACAAGCAAGUGCUUCCUCACAUUGCCUGUCAACCCCCAGCUUCCUCCGUGAGGCCCUGGGGCAGAUUUCCUGGGCCUGGCCCAACAUUGGCUUCUUCACCCCUCCUUGGCAGGUUUCAAGCUUUUCAAACACAGGGAAAGCAGUCUAUCCAGGUGGGACCACAGUGUCUGUGAGGUGGCCUGCCCAGCAUGAAGACUUAGAGGCAUCAUUCAACUUAAGGACAUCCCUAACUCCUACAUAGCUCCAGGAACCAAAUGCUGGAGUCCGGAGAUGAACAAGAUUCGUAUUUCUUUGCUCCCCUCUGCUUCCAUUCCUUCAGGCCACUCAGCCUCACAGAAGCAGUGAAGGAUCUUUUUAGUGCUCCCGAGAAGCCCCUGAAGAAUGCUGCAGACCCUUUGUGUCAGGGUGGUUAGCACUGAAAACAACCCGCUUGGUUUGCUGUUGCUUGUGGUCUCUGCAGCAUUCACCAACGGCCUGAGGAAGGACAGAGCAACUUGACAAUGUCCUCAUUAGAAGGCACUUAGUUCCUCAUCAGUAAAAACAGGGUGCCAUCUAUCACACCUUCAGAGUGUUCUGGAUGGAUCACACAUUUGUGCAUGUGUGAGUGUGUUUGUCUGUCUCGUGUGUGUGUGUGUGUGUGUGUGUGUGUGUGUGUGUGUGUGUGUGUGUGCUCAAGCACAGGCAUGUUAGGGCAUGCGUGCACACGCUCGUGCACACUUGCGUGCGUGUGCACGUGCGCACACACACACAGAGACACACACAAG